rnacentral:rRNA from 1 species
CCGUGAACACGUUCCCGGGCCUUGUACACACCGCCCGUCACACCAUGAGAGUUGGAAAUACCCGAAGCCUGUGAGCUAACUUAAAGAGGCAGCAGUCGAAGGUAGAGCCAAUGAUUGGGGUGAAGUCGUAACAAGGUACC